UACGUAGGGUGCAAGCGUUGUCCGGAAUUAUUGGGCGUAAAGAGCUGUAGGCGGUUUGUCGCGUCUGCUGUGAAAUUUCGGGGCUCAACCCGAACUUGCAGUGGGUACGGGCAGACUAGAGUGUGGUAGGGGAGACUGGAAUUCCGUGGUGUAGCGGUGAAAUGCGUAGAUAUCAAAGAGGAACACCUGCGGCGAAGGCGGGUUGCUGGGCCGGACACUGA
rnacentral:rRNA from 1 species